rnacentral:misc_RNA from 1 species
GAACUGCGAAAAGUAAUGUGACCUGCAAACUUUGUGAAUCAUCAAAUAUUUGAACGCAACUUGCACCAAACAAGCAAUUGUUUGGUAUACUUGUUUGAGUAAUAGUAAAAUAUCGCUUUAUAGUGAAUUUGCGGAGCACCACUGUUCUGUAAAGUGCAUAGAUCAAAAGGUCUGCUGGGAUAAUAUCCUUACAGCACAUCUAUUCUUUACGGGCCUCGUCCUUACGGACUCGAGUAUUAUGUAUUCGACAGUAAGUAUAGAUGAGUAUCGUUAACAACAAGAAAUUGAAUGCCGUUAGGCAUGAGAUUUCUUGUUUGAAUAUUAUUCUCAAAUCAAGUAAGAUGACCCGCUGAAUUUAA